AUUCAAUUGUUUAAGACCAGGAAAACAAAAAAAAACAUUCACACAUAUGACAAACAAAAAGCACGUGGCAAUUCAACGUUAAUUCUAGUAAAAAUUCUGAUUCAAGUAGAAAAACAUGGAAUUUGAAGCUUCCUCUGAUUCUUCUGAAGAAUUUAUUCCACAACGGAUCGAAGUACAAGCCGACAUCGAAAAUGUUCAUACUUCAUCCAUAAAAGAAACAAGUAUCAACACAACGUACGAUGAAUUUAUUCGCAAAUCUCAGGAUUCCCAAUUUUCCUCCACACUUAACGAACCCUCAACAUCAGGCGCUGUAAAUACCAAAAUGCAAAUUCAAUCUACGAUGGUUCAAACACCAACCCCCGCAGGUGCGCCCAUGAAACAGAUAUUGUUCAGUAAGACUAUACACAAAGUCAUUCCCGAAAAUGUAAAACGACUGACUGUUAUUGAUGAAAACAAGACAAUUAAUGAUCCAAACAGAAAUUUAGGAAAAAGGAAGCUUCCAUAUCAAAAUAGAGUUGGUAAACCAGAAGAUAAUAUAGAAAAGAAGAAAAUAGUAGCUCAUGAAGUAGAUAACGUAAAAGAAACUAAGAAUGUAAAAUAUGGAAGUGAACUACAGAAGUAUAUGAAGGAAAUUGUUACAGCUCAUGAUCAACUUGCUAAGAAAACGUCUUCAAAGCGUCUGAAUGAUACGGAUCAACUACUGAAAUAUUUACGUAAAUGUGACUCAUUGACCAAGAAGAUCCAGAAAUUGAAGGAUUUACUAAGCAAUUAAAUUUAAAAUUAUAUUUACUGUAUCUUGUAAACAAAUACACAUUUGAUGAAUUUCUAAAGUUAAUUAAAUAAAGUAAAUUUCUAAUGUUAUAGUUUAA